UGGGGAAUAUUGGGCAAUGGGCGCAAGCCUGACCCAGCAACGCCGCGUGAAGGAAGAAGGCUUUCGGGUUGUAAACUUCUUUUAAGAGGGAAGAGCAGAAGACGGUACCUCUAGAAUAAGCCACGGCUAACUACGUGCCAGCAGCCGCGGUAAUACGUAGGUGGCAAGCGUUGUCCGGAUUUACUGGGUGUAAAGGGCGUGUAGCCGGGUCGGCAAGUCAGAUGUGAAAUCCACGGGCUUAACUCGUGAACUGCAUUUGAAACUGUUGAUCUUGAGUAUCGGAGAGGCAAUCGGAAUUCCUAGUGUAGCGGUGAAAUGCGUAGAUAUUAGGAGGAACACCAGUGGCGAAGGCGGAUUGCUGGACGACAACUGACGGUGAGGCGCGAAAGCGU
rnacentral:rRNA from 1 species